GUAAGCUCUUUCAGUAGGGAAGAAGCGAAGUGACGGUACCUGCAGAAGAAGCGCCGGCUAACUACGUGCCAGCAGCCGCGGUAAUACGUAGGGCGCAAGCGUUAUCCGGAAUUAUUGGGCGUAAAGAGCUCGUAGGCGGUUUGUCGCGUCUGCCGUGAAAGUCCGGGGCUUAACUCCGGAUCUGCGGUGGGUACGGGCAGACUUGAGUGAUGUAGGGGAGACUGGAAUUCCUGGUGUAGCGGUGAAAUGCGCAGAUAUCAGGAGGAACACCGAUGGCGAAGGCAGGUCUCUGGGCAUUAACUGACGCUGAGGAGCGAAAGCAUGGGGAGCGAACAGGAUUAGAUACCCUGGUAGUCCAUGCCGUAAACGUUGGGCACUAGGUGUGGGGGACAUUCCACGUUUUCCGCGCCGUAGCUAACGCAUUAAGUGCCCCGCCUGGGGAGUACGGCCGCAAGGCUAAAACUCAAAGGAAUUGACGGGGGCCCGCACAAGCGGCGGAGCAUGCGGAUUAAUUCGAUGCAACGCGAAGAACCUUACCAAGGCUUGACAUGAACCGGAACGGCGCAGAGAUGUGUCGGCCACUUGUGGCCGGUUUACAGGUGGUGCAUGGUUGUCGUCAGCUCGUGUCGUGAGAUGUUGGGUUAAGUCCCGCAACGAGCGCAACCCUCGUUCCAUGUUGCCAGCGGGUUAUGCCGGGGACUCAUGGGAGACUGCCGGGGUCAACUCGGAGGAAGGUGGGGACGACGUCAAAUCAUCAUGCCCCUUAUGUCUUGGGCUUCACGCAUGCUACAAUGGCCGGUACAAAGGGUUGCGAUGCUGUGAGGUGGAGCUAAUCCCAAAAAGCCGGUCUCAGUUCGGAUUGAGGUCUGCAACUCGACCUCAUGAAGUCGGAGUCGCUAGUAAUCGCAGAUCAGCAACGCUGCGGUGAAUACGUUCCCGGGCCUUGUACACACCGCCCGUCAAGUCACGAAAGUUGGUAACACCCGAAGUU
rnacentral:rRNA from 1 species